rnacentral:rRNA from 1 species
CCUACGGGGAGCAGCAGUGAGGAAUAUUGGUCAAUGGGCGCGAGCCUGAACCAGCCAAGUAGCGUGAAGGAUGACUGCCCUACGGGUUGUAAACUUCUUUUAUAAAGGAAUAACGUGAGGAACGUGUGCCUUUUUGUAUGUACUUUAUGAAUUAGGAUCGGCUAACUCCGUGCCAGCAGCCGCGGUAAUACGGAGGAUCCGAGCGUUGUCCGGAUUUAUUGGGUUUAAAGGGAGCGUAGAUGGGUUGUUAAGUCAGUUGUGAAAGUUUGCGGCUCAACCGUAAAAUUGCAAUUGAUACUGGCAGCCUUGAGUACAGUUGAGGUAGGCGGAAUUCGUGGUGUAGCGGUGAAAUGCUUAGAUAUCACGAAGAACUCCGAUUGCGAAGGCAGCUUACUAAACUGCCACUGACAUUGAUGCUCGAAAGUGUGGGUAUCAAACAGGAUUAGAUACCCUAGUAGUC